rnacentral:rRNA from 1 species
AAUAUGGUACACGGGGGGCAACGCUGAUCCAGCCAUGCCGCGUGUGUGAAGAAGGUCAUGGAUUUGUAAAGUACUUUACGUUGGGAGGAAGGGCUUGAGGUUAAUAGUCUGAAGUUUUGACGUUACCAAAGGAACAAGCACCGCCUAACCCGGUGCCAGAAGCCGCGGUAAUACAGAGGGUGCAAGCGUUAAUCGGAAUUACUUGGUGUAAAGCGCGCGUAGGUGGUUCAGUAAGAUGGGUGUGAAAUCCCCGGGCUUAACCUGGGAACUGCUUUCAUAACUGCUGAGCUAGAGUACGGUAGAGGGUAGUGGAAUUUCCUGUGUAGCGGUGAAAUGCGUAGAUAUAGGAAGGAACACCAGCGGCGAAGGCGACUACCUGGACUGAUACUGACACUGAGGUACGAAAGCGUGGGGAGCAAAC